rnacentral:rRNA from 1 species
AGAGUUUGAUCAUGGCUCAGAUUGAACGCUGGCGGCAGGCCUAACACAUGCAAGUCGAACGGUAACAGGAAGAAGCUUGCUUCUUUGCUGACGAGUGGCGGACGGGUGAGUAAUGUCUGGGAAACUGCCUGAUGGAGGGGGAUAACUACUGGAAACGGUAGCUAAUACCGCAUAACGUCGCAAGACCAAAGAGGGGGACCUUCGGGCCUCUUGCCAUCGGAUGUGCCCAGAUGGGAUUAGCUAGUAGGUGGGGUAACGGCUCACCUAGGCGACGAUCCCUAGCUGGUCUGAGAGGAUGACCAGCCACACUGGAACUGAGACACGGUCCAGACUCCUACGGGAGGCAGCAGUGGGGAAUAUUGCACAAUGGGCGCAAGCCUGAUGCAGCCAUGCCGCGUGUAUGAAGAAGGCCUUCGGGUUGUAAAGUACUUUCAGCGGGGAGGAAGGGAGUAAAGUUAAUACCUUUGCUCAUUGACGUUACCCGCAGAAGAAGCACCGGCUAACUCCGUGCCAGCAGCGGCGGUAAUACGGAGGGUGCAAGCGUUAAUCGGAAUUACUGGGCGUAAAGCGCACGCAGGCGGUUUGUUAAGUCAGAUGUGAAAUCCCCGGGCUCAACCUGGGAACUGCAUCUGAUACUGGCAAGCUUGAGUCUCGUAGAGGGGGGUAGAAUUCCAGGUGUAGCGGUGAAAUGCGUAGAGAUCUGGAGGAAUACCGGUGGCGAAGGCGGCCCCCUGGACGAAGACUGACGCUCAGGUGCGAAAGCGUGGGGAGCAAACAGGAUUAGAUACCCUGGUAGUCCACGCCGUAAACGAUGUCGACUUGGAGGUUGUGCCCUUGAGGCGUGGCUUCCGGAGCUAACGCGUUAAGUCGACCGCCUGGGGAGUACGGCCGCAAGGUUAAAACUCAAAUGAAUUGACGGGGGCCCGCACAAGCGGUGGAGCAUGUGGUUUAAUUCGAUGCAACGCGAAGAACCUUACCUGGUCUUGACAUCCACGGAAGUUUUCAGAGAUGAGAAUGUGCCUUCGGGAACCGUGAGACAGGUGCUGCAUGGCUGUCGUCAGCUCGUGUUGUGAAAUGUUGGGUUAAGUCCCGCAACGAGCGCAACCCUUAUCCUUUGUUGCCAGCGGUCCGGCCGGGAACUCAAAGGAGACUGCCAGUGAUAAACUGGAGGAAGGUGGGGAUGACGUCAAGUCAUCAUGGCCCUUACGACCAGGGCUACACACGUGCUACAAUGGCGCAUACAAAGAGAAGCGACCUCGCGAGAGCAAGCGGACCUCAUAAAGUGCGUCGUAGUCCGGAUUGGAGUCUGCAACUCGACUCCAUGAAGUCGGAAUCGCUAGUAAUCGUGGAUCAGAAUGCCACGGUGAAUACGUUCCCGGGCCUUGUACACACCGCCCGUCACACCAUGGGAGUGGGUUGCAAAAGAAGUAGGUAGCUUAACCUUCGGGAGGGCGCUUACCACUUUGUGAUUCAUGACUGGGGUGAAGUCGUAACAAGGUAACCGUAGGGGAACCUGCGGUUGGAUCACCU